ensembl:lncRNA
GGAAAGAAUAACAUGUUGUAUGUCAAAAUAUAUUUGAAUGGGCCCAUGCCAGCAUCAAGCCAUAAAACACAGAGGAGGGGGGCUUAACAGCUCUUGUGUUCAGGAGCUCUUCUGUUUCUCUGUUCUGCAGAAACGUUGCUUAAAUGAACCUUAAAAAGCUGCAUGUGUGGCUCUGUGCCUCAUAGGAGAGGAGCGGGAGCUCCAAAAGGCUGCAGGAGGCUGUGAAGGCGAUGCUGCCUGUAGACAAGGUGCUGAGGCGUAGGCAGGGCUGGUGGGUGGCAGGGGACAGGGUGACAAAUAUCAUUGGCUGUGUGGGGAUGUGGGGCUCCUGUGAACAUAUAUAUGCUCCUACGAACAUCUAUGAGCACGUUCUUGGGUUGCUGGCUUAGCUUCAACAUCCUGUGCUGACCUGCGCAUCAUCCCAAAGCCCUGAGUGCACCCCUGGAGGGAAUGGCCUCAUGCUGUGCCAGGAGAGGUUGGAUAUCAGGAACAACUCCUUCUCCAAAAGAGUGGUGAUGCAUUGGCACAGCUGCCCAGGGAGGCGGUGGGAUCACUGUCCCUGGAGGUGUUCCAGAACCAUGGAGAUGUGGCACUGAGGGACAUGGUCAGUGGGCAUGGUGGGGGUGGGUUGGGGUUGGACUCGGGAUCUGAGACAUCUUUUCCAGCCCUGAUGAUUCUGUGAUUCUAAGCGCAACGUUUUUGCAGCAGAUGGGAGAACUCAGAUGGCUGUAAGCAUGAAGCCAAAUUCCUUUAGUGCUGAAGGACGUGGAAUGGGAUGGACUCACUGCGAGCCAAAAACGCUGCGCUGAGUGCACUGAUGAUGACCACUGCAAGCAAUGUGCAGGUAGAGAAAUGUGAGUCCAUUGUGUGCAAUAGGCAUCAACACUGCUACUGCCCAGAGCAACCCCUGCCUCUCUUAUGUGCAGCUGACCAUCCUCAGUAGGAAGGUGAGGCACCAGCCUGGGGAAGGCUAUCCCCAGAAGAUGCCUUUGUAUAACAGUACGGAUCCC